CCUACGGGUGGCAGCAGUGGGGAAUAUUGGACAAUGGGCGAAAGCCUGAUCCAGCCAUGCCGCGUGUGUGAAGAAGGCCUUCGGGUUGUAAAGCACUUUCAGUGGGGAAGAAAGCCUUGGGGCUAAUACCCUCGAGGAAGGACAUCACCCACAGAAGAAGCACCGGCUAACUCCGUGCCAGCAGCCGCGGUAAUACGGAGGGUGCGAGCGUUAAUCGGAAUUACUGGGCGUAAAGCGCGCGUAGGCGGUCUGAUAAGCCGGUUGUGAAAGCCCCGGGCUCAACCUGGGAACGGCAUCCGGAACUGUCAGGCUAGAGUGCAGGAGAGGAAGGUAGAAUUCCCGGUGUAGCGGUGAAAUGCGUAGAGAUCGGGAGGAAUACCAGUGGCGAAGGCGGCCUUCUGGACUGACACUGACGCUGAGGUGUGAAAGCGUGGGUAGCAAACAGGAUUAGAUACCCCGGUAGUC
rnacentral:rRNA from 1 species